rnacentral:rRNA from 1 species
GACGAACGCUGGCGGCGUGCUUAACACAUGCAAGUCGAACGGAAAGGCCCUGCUUUUGUGGGGUGCUCUAGUGGCGAACGGGUGAGUAACACGUGAGUAACCUGCCCUUGACUUUGGGAUAACUUCAGGAAACUGGGGCUAAUACCGGAUAGGAGCUCCUGCUGCAUGGUGGGGGUUGGAAAGUUUCGGUGGUUGGGGAUGGACUCUCGGCUUAUCAGCUUGUUGGUGUGGUAGUGGCUUACCAAGGGUUUGACGGGUAGCCGGCCUGAGAGGGUGAACGGGUAGGAUGGGAAUAAGUUGCGGCCCAGACUCCGACCGGACGCAGCAGUGUGGAAUAUUUAAGAGUGAGCGGAAGCCUAAUGCAGCAACGCCGCGGGCGGGAUGAUAACAGUCGGGUGGUAAACCGCUUUGGCCUGUGACGAAGAGUGAGUGACGGUAAUGGGUAAAGAAGCAAAGGCUAACUACGUG